rnacentral:rRNA from 1 species
UACGUAGGGUGCAAGCGUUGUCCGGAAUUAUUGGGCGUAAAGAGCUCGUAGGCGGUCUGUCGCGUCUGCUGUGAAAACUCAGGGCUUAACCCUGAGCUUGCAGUGGGUACGGGCAGACUAGAGUGCGGUAGGGGAGACUGGAAUUCCUGGUGUAGCGGUGAAAUGCGCAGAUAUCAGGAGGAACACCGGUGGCGAAGGCGGGUCUCUGGUACGUGACUGACGCUGAGACGCGAAAGCGUGGGGAGCGAACAGG